rnacentral:rRNA from 1 species
GUGCCAGCAGCCGCGGUAAUACGUAGGUGACAAGCGUUGUCCGGAUUUACUGGGUGUAAAGGGCGCGUAGGCGGGCUAUCAAGUCAGCCGUGAAAUGCCGGGGCUUAACCCCGGAGCUGCGGUUGAAACUGACAGUCUUGAGUAUCGGAGAGGAAAGCGGAAUUCCUAGUGUAGCGGUGAAAUGCGUAGAUAUUAGGAGGAACACCAGUGGCGAAGGCGGCUUUCUGGACGACAACUGACGCUGAGGCGCGAAAGUGUGGGGAGCAAACAGGAUUAGAUACCCUGGUAGUCCACACCGUAAACGAUGGAUACUAGGUGUAGGAGGUAUCGACCCCUUCUGUGCCGCAGUUAACACAAUAAGUAUCCCACCUGGGGAGUACGACCGCAAGGUUGAAACUCAAAGGAAUUGACGGGGGCCCGCACAAGCAGUGGAGUAUGUGGUUUAAUUCGAAGCAACGCGAAGAACCUUACCUGGGCUUGACAUCCCGAUGACCGUUCUGGAGACAGAAUUUCCCUUCGGGGCAUCGGUGACAGGUGGUGCAUGGUUGUCGUCAGCUCGUGUCGUGAGAUGUUGGGUUAAGUCCCGCAACGAGCGCAACCCCUAUUGUCAGUUGCCAUCAUUCAGUUGGGCACUCUGGCGAGACUGCCGGUGACAAAUCGGAGGAAGGUGGGGACGACGUCAAAUCAUCAUGCCCCUUAUGCCCAGGGCUACACACGUACUACAAUGGCCGAUAACAAAGUGCAGCGAAACCGCGAGGUGGAGCGAAUCACAAAACUCGGUCUCAGUUCAGAUUGCAGGCUGCAACUCGCCUGCAUGAAGUUGGAAUUGCUAGUAAUCGCGAAUCAGAAUGUCGCGGUGAAUACGUUCCCGGGCCUUGUACACACCGCCCGU